rnacentral:rRNA from 1 species
GAUGAACGCUAGCUACAGGCUUAACACAUGCAAGUCGCGGGGCAGCAUGGGGGUUGCUUGCAAUCCCCGAUGGCGACCGGCGCACGGGUGAGUAACGCGUAUCCAACCUGCCCUUCACCACGGGAUAACCCGGCGAAAGUCGGACUAAUACCGUAUGUUGUCCAUUGACGGCAUCCGAUUUGGACGAAAGGCUUGGCGGUGAGGGAUGGGGAUGCGUCCGAUUAGCCAGACGGCGGGGUAACGGCCCACCGUGGCUACGAUCGGUAGGGGUUCUGAGAGGAAGGUCCCCCACACUGGAACUGAGACACGGUCCAGACUCCUACGGGAGGCAGCAGUGAGGAAUAUUGGUCAAUGGGCGUAAGCCUGAACCAGCCAAGUAGCGUGCAGGAGGACGGCCCUAUGGGUUGUAAACUGCUUUUAUGCGGGGAUAAAGUGGCCCACGUGUGGGCUUUUGCAGGUACCGCAUGAAUAAGAACCGGCUAAUUCCGUG